ensembl:lncRNA
GGGGGGGGGGUGGAGGGACACACAAAAAAGCUAGGAAGUGGUUCUCUCAUUCACUUAUGGAAAAUGUUAUACUGAAUUUCUGAUUUAAAAGGAAGAGGAUUAGAAAAAAUGUGUGGGCCCAUGAUAUCAUUUUCUGUAGAACUAGUUAGGCAAUCCACAGUAGCUAGCAAAGGAAACUGUGUCAAGAAACAAAAUCUACAUGGGAGACAUGACUUGGAUUCAGUUUGUCCUAACUUAAACCUUUACAAUGAAAUUUGAAUCAGCUACUCUAAGAAGUAAGUCGUGUUAGAAAACUCUGAGUCCUGAAGAGCUGGUGGGGCCUCUUAGCACUACAUAAACAACUAAAUGCUACCCUCUCCUCCCAAGGACCCUGUCCCCUCCACUAACAGUGUCAUGCUGACCCUCGGACUGCAAGGGGGAGUCUGAAUGCAGUGAAACUCAAGAUCUCCGGGGUACUUGGUCAGUGUUGCAAGCUGCUGUGGCCUUUGGCGUUAUUUAUCUUUAGUUUGCAACGUAGGGGUGUGCUGUAUCAGGUGUGCAGAGCAAACAAACUCCUUGCCUCUGAAACACUGGCAUUUUAGAAAGCAAAGAUUCGGCUCAUUGACCAGAGCUACAGGGGACACAAUUUGUUGUGGCUUCUCUGAAAAUCACCCCCUCUUUUCCAUCUCUCUGCUACCACCUUCAUUCAGGCCUUCAUGGUUUCUCAUCCAAACCGGUCUUCCUGCCUCCUGCCUGCCUUCUUCCCAGCCCGCAGUGCACACAGCACACAGAGCAAGCUAUGUAAAAACACCAACAGGGACAUGAGCCUUCCUUGCUUUCAAACUUUUGCCGACUCCCCUGUGCUGAGCGCAGGAGAGAAUACGGACGGCCUCCAAGGCCUUUCAUAACUUGGCCUCAGCCCACCUUCCCUCCUACUCCAAGAAUCUCAGGCUCCAGUUACACUGAGCCACUCACUGCCCUGCACCUCCUGCCAGGCAACUCUCUGCCAAGUUUAUUCACACAUUUAUCCUUUUCACUCUGGAUAAAUGAGGACUGAUCAUGUACUCUACUUCUUUUAACUUCUAUAGAGCAAUCUCUUUGUCUUUAUACAAUUAUGACUUAACAGUAGUAAGAGAAGGUUCAGAGGGCACAAGGUAACACACCUACAUAAACAACCCUACUGGGUGCAAAUAUUGUAAAUCAACAUAUGCCUAGAAAAGGUGGUCAGAUGCUGAAUUCUGACUAUAUACUUCCGAUGGCACAUAAUGAGUAAGUUUCAAUUUUUAUAGUUUUAACAUUCUGAAUUCUGGGGGUGGUUUUGAUGAGCAGACCAAGUUUUAAAAGAGUUAUGGUCUUUGGGAUCCUCACUUCUUUCUCUUCUUCCCUGCACCUUCCCUACAUGUUUACAUCAGCAGAUGUGUCCUUUGAGGGGUGAAAUGGUGAGACGACAGCAGUUUAGGAACUGUUUGCCCAUUACACUGGGUACUCAGAAACUGUAAGACCUAGGGACUUAGGAAGAAAUAACAUAGUAAGUGUGAUAGGACUAGUAGCAUUGAUCAUUUGUGGGGAGGAGUGUAGAGGGAGGCAUGUAGUGUGCCGC